GCCACGUGGAGCUGCAGCCAGAUCAGGCUUUCAUGUUUGGAGUAAUGUCACUUCUGCUGUUCUGACUUUAG
rnacentral:miRNA from 1 species